UCCAGGAGUGUGGCCGGCUGAUCGAGACCUCUGUUAAACCCACCCAGGAUGGUUGCAGCACAGUGAGAUUGCCACUAACUCAUUAUAGCAUUGCUGCUUCGCUGUGCAUGUGCAACAGCUUCCGGGUUGCGGAGACAGCAGGCCGGGCAGGGAAGUAAUGCUAGCGCCUUUGCAGAAAGGGCAGGAAGGGGCUUGUAUGCAGGAGCUCUGAAAAAGUGCAAGUCUCAAAAAUAUGCAUGCAGCUGAUUGGACUGUCUGCACAAUGGAGGUUUCUGGUUGGCUGUGUCCGGAUUAUAAACACAGCAGACAGUGGGAAGAGCAGAGGGGAGGAGGUAUUUCCCAGCUUGAGGGAGAGGACUGGGACAGUCUCGCCCCCCAGGGAGGGGACUGAAAGCCUGCUGCAGGAGCCAACACCCCAGGAAAGACAGACAGCCCGUGGUGCUCAGUAAGGAGCCGAGUCCCCUAUCUUGGAGAGGAGCUGUGCAAACUCAGGACUCGGGUGCCCUGGGAAAGAGGAGGGGCAAAGGAAAGAGUCUGGCCCAGCGGGAAUCCGUGCUUGCAGCUGGGUCGCAGCCUGCAGGGACAGGGGACCUGCCAGUAAAGGGAGGCAGUCUCUAUUGAGCAUCCCUAGUUUCACAAGGAAAGGGAAUGUGGGGAGGCAUUUAACCUCAUAGGGCGUGUGUAGAUGGCACGGGAGUUAAUGUAGACUGCCCAAAAAUGUUAACGUGGCUUUUUUUUUUUUGGUGCAGUUCAUUUUUGUUUGCAUGACAUGGCAUUUGUGUUUGCACGAACGGUGCUUUUGAGCAAGUUAAGUCCCUGUAUGUCAUUCUCCGCAGACAUCGGUAGAGGCAGUCAAAUACCAGUUUACCCCCAGGAAUGUCUUUCCUAAUGUAUUACAGCAGGAGGGGCAUGUGAGCCCCCCGGGCUCCCCAGUCCCCCCACUCUCAUUGGGCAGUCCUGACUGUCUGGGAGUCUCCCCUGAUCGUGGUCACGGUCACCCCCAAAUCCCUGUCACUUGCACCCGCCUAUGCUCGUUCGGUCUGGGCUGGUCUCUCUCUCCAUCAGUACAUGAUCGCAAGGACCCCACACCGAUCCCGAAAGACAAGCCGCGCAGGUGAAUCCUUCCCUCCCAUCCGUUCCUUUCCCUUUCCAUUGCACCAUGGACAUUUUUAUUAAUAUAGUGGCUUAAUAACUGCCUAUAUCAUAAGAGUGUUAGGUGGGUGGGCGUUUGUUACUGCCCGGUUGAUAGGCGAUUCCUGCAUAUAUCUAUAUUGGCGGUCUUCUGUCCCUAUGUUGGUGGUCUUCUGACUUUUGGGGGAGGGGGUUGGACUAUAUUUCCCAGCAUUCCCAAGCUCAUUGAGCUUCUUACAGUUUCCAAUGGGAAAGCCUCCAGUUCCCUGGCCAGGUGCACCAUCAAUCUGUUUGUGUAGUGUCACAUAUGGCUUUUGGAGCUGUGUUGUGAAUUGUUGUGAAUUGUUUUAUAAAUGUUCUUGGAAUCUUUGUUUCAAAAUGUGACUUGCUAUUUGGCUUGGUUUCCCCCCGUCCCACACCCCUUGCAACCCCUGACCAUCCUGUCUUCCCCCACUCCCAUCCACAACAUCACAUGCCCCUGUAGACAGACACAGAUUUUAAAGUGUGAAAAAAUAUAAAUCUAUAUUUUGGAAUAAAGCACUCCCUAGGGGUUGUUCUCAGCAGUGUAUCCUGCAAGAUAAUCGUGCACAAGGCCCGUCUGACCAGCCUCUCCUUGAGGAUAUCUCCUCGGUCCCUGUGCUGCUGCCCCACAUCUCUGUUGUCUUUCCACCACCUAUCAUGCUUCUUGUUCCCACGGGUCCUUGAAAAUCUCUCCUUCGUUCUUACAGAUGUUGUGCAUCACACAGGCUGUCACAAUGAAGGGCAUUAGAUUUUCUUCAUCCAUGUUGAGCUGGCACGUAAGCGCCCUCCAUCAUCCUUUCAGUCGGCCAAACACAUUCCACCGCCAUCCUGCAACUGCUGAGGCGGUAGUUAAAAACCAGCUUCUGCAGGUCGGUGAUCUUCCCUCCAUAAGGCUUCGUGAGCCUGGGCUUUAGGGGUAGGCAGCAUCCAUUAAUAUGAUGGGGGGAUGGUGACACCACAAAUCACUCUCUCCUCCAUGCCAGGUGCAUAGUGUCCUUUCUCCCCGAGCUCAGCCAGAGGGGAGUUUCUGAAUACACUCAUCAUGAGUGCUGCUGGCCCACCCUGUAAAAAUGUUUGUGAACCAGACCCGGUGGUCCACCAUGGCUUGCAGGAUCAUGGAGGCAUGGCCUGUCCUGUUUGUGUAAAGCCUCCCACUCCCUGCAGGGCACAGCACUGGGAGGUGAGUGCUGUCUAAAGCCCCCACACAGCUCAGGAACCCCUUCUCAUUAAAGCCAUCUAUGACUUGCUGUGGAUUCACCAGGUGGAUAAAUUUGUUAGAAGCCAUGUUCCUAAUCUGCUGGCAUACUUCACGGGUCACCUGCCCCACCAUGCAGGCAGCCAUGCCAAACUGCUUGGCAAUGUAGCAGAGGCUGGCUGAGCUGGCCAGUUUAACGAUGGCCAUUGUGACCCUCUGGUCUGGUGGGAUGUCCCGACGCAUGUUUGUGUCCAGCCUCAUGAUGUGCGGCCCGAGCAUGCAGACAAUAUGGUAAAACAUCUCCCUUUUCAUUCAAAACAUCUCCAGCCACUGCUGGUCAUUCCAAGUGGUCAGGACGAUUCAGUCCCACCAGUCCUAGCUGCUCUCGUGGGCCCACACCAUGCAGAUCCUGCUGGUCCUCCUCAGGUCUCUCAACAGAGCCCGGUCAGAUUCCACUUGUUCGCUUCACUCCCCUGAGUACCUGUUGUAUCUUCUUAAUGUUGUUAAAGCAGAAACACAACAACUUGCCACUGAGCAGUGUAGUGUCCUACUCCUACUGAAGACUUCCUGCAGUAAUCUCCAGUAAAACAGGGUUUCCAGUACUGCGUCCAACUCCUCGUGAUCCAUGUCCAACAUCAUGUCUCGUAUUUCAUCCUCGUUCUCCAUUUUGCCCCUCUCCCAGCAGUGGCCUCUCACCUGUCUGCACCAAGCAGGGUGGUGUGUGUGGUUGGUCUGGAGCUCGGUGUAGCUGCUUUUUCAACCCUUCACCCCAGUGCCCUGAGGCAUUGUGCCUUUUGCACGAGUUUUGCAGCCACUGGCGUUGUGACGUAAUCAAGCUUGCAAAUAAAAACAAAGUUUUGCCUACUCUUCUCCUGGCUAUUCAAAGCAUUUGCCACUUUAUGGGAGAACAUAAGGCUGUAAUAAAAUUAUUUUGCACAAGCAGGCAGUUAUUGAUGAUUUUUGCAACAUUUUUGAUCAUUGAGCAGCCAUCCCAAAGUACAAAGGCCUUAUUAACCCAUCACCAGGUCUUUUUUGUUGUUAACUGGGGGUGCUUCAUCACCUUUGGGGGUUUUGAUACUCACAGAUAAUGACUUCAAAAUCUUUGGAAUUUUCCCAGACUCUCCUGCAAGCACAGCCCGAGUAUAAAGGCACCCCUCCAAAAUUUGCCAGCCCCUUUCACAAAUCACUUGUGCUUGUGCUGUUGAUCACCCACCAACUGCUUCACCAUGUCUUAGAAAGCCAAGGCCAGCAGUAUGAUGGAUCCAAUAGCCCAGGAGGCUGAUACCUCCAAUGCCCAUGGCCCCAACUGGAGCCAGGAAGAACUGGAGACUUAAUUGACAUUUGGUCAGAGCAAAGGAUCGUAAACAGGCUGGAGAAUAGGAGAAAUAAACCUGUUUAUGUUGGGAUACCAAAAGGCAUGCAGGUGCGAGGGCACAACCAUGACUGGACCCAGGUCUGGUGCAAGAUCAAGUCUCUGAGACCAGCAUUUUACAGAGCCAAAGACAUGAACUCUCAUUCUGGGGAAGGUAACGCACUUGCCCCCUUCUAUAACAAGCUGUCUGUCAUUCUCUCCAGGGAUGCGGGUGACAACCCGGCUUUGCAGAUAUUCAGCACCGGUGUUGGCCUGGAGGUGGAAGUGGAGGAAGAACCAUUGAUCACCAUAGAUUUAUUGCCAAUUAGCCCCCACUAUUCCACAGAGUAGUGUGGAUGAUGAAUUGGAGGAGGUGGGGGUCAGGAAGAAACAUCAUCUACUGGACCUGGGAAGUCUCUUGUAAUGCGUCUCUUGCCACUGCCAGGCAACUCCCAGGUUCAUGCUGGUUGGGUUUGGGGAGCGGUGGGGGGAGAAAUUCAUGUGUUGCUAUAGGUUAGUCGCCAUGUUCUUUCAGUGGUGGUGCAGGCCCACCAGGUUCAAUAGUUAAUUAUUUGCUUUAAUUAAUUUGUUGCAGCUAGCAUGGGCAGUGACAUUCAGGGUCCUGUUCCCGGAGCACCACAGUGACUCAUGGCCAUUGGGAAUGGCACCCUGCUCACACUUCAGCAGAGCACUGAGGAGAUUUUCACAGCAAGCAGAGAUGUCCACGAAACCUCACUCGAGGUUUUGGUGGAGUCCUCGUAGCCAGAGCAGAAAGCGAAGCUGCCUGGUGGGACGAACUUCAUUAUUUGAUGCGUAAGGACCAUGCCAUCCUCAAGAAAGUGCAAGGCACCAUGUGGAAUUUAAAAGACAUAGUUGACAAGUCCAGUCCUGACUUCCAAAGUUAAAAUGACAAGUUCAAGGAGGCCUUGCAGAAAUACCUAAAAAAUGAACAGUUACAAUGCCCAAAAGGGAAAAGUCAGUCUGUUUGUCUUGCCUCUAUGCAAGAUGAGCCAGUUCCCCCUAACUCUAUGGGUCACAGCAGGGCCGUAUGAUUGCCAGCAGGACCAGGAGGGUGCCACUGCAUUUCAGGGAGACAGGGGUGGUUCGGGGUCAUGGUGGGGUGAAGGCAAAGAAGCCCAAGUAAGUGCUGCAAUACUCUGUUGCAAACAAUAAAAGCUCAUAGUUUCCUGGUUUCCUGCAUCUGCCUCCAUAACCCCACUUCCUCAUGCUCUUUCUUGGCUCACCCAACACAACGCUUCCUGGUGUGUGUGUAACACCUGAUCAAGGCCUUUUGGUGAGGUGGGGGAGGGGCGGCCUGGGGUUUCCAGCUUUGCUUGCACACGACACAAUCUCCGUCACCCCCCAGCAGCCUGGCUUGCUUUUUUGCAAGCCACCAUCAACCAGCCACCUGCAGCUUAGUUUCUCCUCUGAAUGAUGGAGCCUUUCUUCUUGGUUGCUGGCCUUUGCCAAGACCUCUUUGCCCCACUUGCUCUGCCUGCUUGCCGCCCUUCUUCUACCGCUUCUUGCCUGCUUCCCGCCAUUCUUCUUGGGAGGCGUGGCAGAAGCUGAGACUUGUUCGCAGUUUGGUGCAAGCAACACCUCUCUGUUCCUUUCUCUCAAAAAUUCUUCUUGGUUGCUGGCCUCUUCUUCUGCCAACUUGCCCUCUGCCUUUCACCUCAGCAAGCAAGCAGACACGUCCCGACCUGACCUCUCUCCACUGCACACUUGUACCUUUGCAAUUGGUGCUGGCCACAAAAGCCUUCUUCUUGUUUGCUGGCAAAGACCGCUCGCUCCCUCUUGCCCCAUGGCUGGGGGCUUGACUCUUAGCUCAGGCAAACUCCCUCCCUAGCUCCCUCCUGUCCCAUGGGUGGGGGUCUUAGCACCCCAGGGUGGUGCUCCGGCACAGUCCCUCCCUAGCAACUCCUUCAUGGUUACUGGACAUGUCUCAGAAAAUGCACUUCUGCGCUGCAGGAAAUCACUAAAUAAAAUCCCCAUAGACUACUGUAGCAUGUGUGCCUUUAAAAAAUAAUUCUUGCUACAGUAGUCUAUGCACCUACCUCUUUGUUGCAGCCUUGUAGCUUGGGAGUCAUUGCUGUUGGCCACAAAGCCUUCUUCUUCUAGGUUGCUGGCCAAGACCUCUUUGUCCCACUUGCCCCUCUUCGCCCCACUUGCCCACUUCUCCUUGGGAGCCAGUGGCAGAAGCUAUCCCUGCAGUGGCAGAGGUCUCGGGUCAGAGGCGGUGCCUUCUUCAGCACAUAAAGUUUGAAUUUCUCCUCUGAAUUGUGAAGGCCUUCUUAGUCCUUCUUCUUGGUUGCUGGCCAAGACCUCCGCGUUCUGGGCAGCAGGCUCUUUGGCCCGCUUGGGACUUUGGAAUUGUUGCUGGGGGAAAGAUUCUUCCUGGGCAGGGAAAACACUGCCUGCAUCUCGCCCUUCUCAGGACUACUGCAGUGGCAGAAGCUGAGGCCCUUUGGCCCGAGCAUCCAGGCCCACUUCACAGUCUUCUCCCCCUCCCACCCGUUACUGGCCAUGUCCUGCAUCAGUACAAGCAUUUCAUUCAUUGCUGCAGAGGGCUUGGAUCACAGGGGGGACCUUCCACUAAGGAAGCUGUGGCUUGAGUUUCUCAUCUGAAUUGCGGAGGCUUCUUGGUAGCUUUGCCUGCUCUCUGCCUUAGACCUCUUGCCCUCCUCCUGGUAAGCUUUGACUACUGCAGUGGCAGAAGCUGAGGCUUCUUCACUGGCUUUGGCCCUAGCAUGAGCUUGAUUUGCACAAGUUCUGUAGGCCAACUUCAUAUAGUCUUCUUGACCUGCACCAUUAUUGUUACUGGCCAUGUACCUACCACCAAAUUUGGAUUGGGGUAUAUACAUAAGAUAACAUACACUAUAGGUAGCGUGGGGGCCCAAAGAUUUAACAGGGAGUAGAAAAAAAGUAUUAUUUCCUAAGCUUUGUGCCCAGCAAAGAUUUCAAAGGUACAAUGCAAUGGAAAGGGAGUAGCAUGGCCCAACUCAGCCAGCCAGCUGAGUCGAGCCAUCCAUCUGGACCUGAGGGGGUCCCAACCGUGCCUGGGACCCCCCACCUAAGGGGGUCCCCUCUGCAACCAUGGCUUCCCCCUCACCUCCAUGUUCCUGCUGUGUGGGACAUAGUAACCAGGAAGGUGGUGCAGGACACCUUCGUCCACCCCUCUCCCCCACCCACGCAUGUUGGGGCUCCCUCCACUCCUCCCAAAGCUUUGUGCCCUGCAAAGAUUGCAAGGGUACAAUGCAAUGGAGAGUAACACCCCACCCCUCUCCACCACCCUACCUGAGGGGGGCCCUUUGCAACCAUGCCUAGGGCCCCCCACAGUUAGGGGGCCCCUCCCUAACUAAGCUGUAUGGGUGGGUAGGUUGUUUCUUUCUUGCAAGAAAAUGCUGGCUGGCUGCAUGCAGACUAGCACUGGCCAAGCAUUUGGCUUCCCUCCAUCCAAAAGCAGUUCACCCUGCAACUUUCCAGUAAUGAACUCUAUAAAAGUUGCAGGGUCAUCAGUAACCAGCAGGAAGUGCCAGUAACCAGGCUGGCUGGCUGGCUGGCUACCUGCCUCCCUCCCUCCAUCCGUUCCUUCCUCUUGCCCUCCCACUAUACAGCCCUCCAUCCAUCCAUAUCUAUUACAGAAGGGACCAUAAUUAUGAAUUGGUGUUUUAUGCUAUGCACGGCUGUAGUGUAAAUUGUAUUGUAAAUUGUAUUGUGAUUUCUCAAUGGAAUUGGUUGCAAUUCAAUUUUUUGUUAAAAAAAAUAAAGAAGAGGAAGAAAAAAAUCU